rnacentral:lncRNA from 1 species
UGAAUGUGCUGUAGUUACCCGGAGGUUUGCAACAGAGUCUGCAAGGAGUGGAUCACUACCACAUGCAGCACCAUAUUCCUUCUGGAUAGCUCCUUUCUUCAGUGGUAACUUCCACGCAUUAAAUAAUGCUUCGAACAUCCCAUGGGGCAACGGACAUAGACUCCUACCGAAAAAAAUGCACUUGUGCUUUUUGCAUCAUCAUCGCCUGCAACCCACCUUAAAACUGGCUUCUUGGGGGUGCCUAUGAACACCUGCCUCGACUAAAAGACGUUUUGGUCCGCAGCGUGUGACUGAGCACAAUAAAAACGGGCACAUCUGUACCA